rnacentral:tRNA from 1 species
GCAGUGUGGCCGAGUGGUUAAGGCGAUGGACUAGAAAUCCAUUCGGGUCUCCCCGCACAGGUUGGAAUCCUGUCGACUCCG